CAUGGCAAGUCGAGCGGAUGAAUGGACUUGCUCCAUGAUUCGCGGCGGACGGGCGAGUUAUGCCUAGGAAUCUGCCUGGUAGUGGGGGACAACGUUUCGAAAGGAACGCUAAUACCGCAUACGUCCUACGGGAGAAAGUGGGGGAUCUUCGGACCUCACGCUAUCAGAUGAGCCUAGGUCGGAUUACCUAGUUGGUGAGGUAAAGGCUCACCAAGGCGACGAUCCGUAACUGGUCUGAGAGGAUGAUCAGUCACACUGGAACUGAGACACGGUCCAGACUCCUACGGGAGGGCAGCAGUGGGGAAUAUUGGACAAUGGGCGAAAGCCUGAUCCAGCCAUGCCGCGUGUGUGAAGAAGGUCUUCGGAUUGUAAAGCACUUUAAGUUGGGAGGAAGGGCAGUAAGUUAAUACCUUGCUGUUUUGACGUUACCAACAGAAUAAGCACCGGCUAA
rnacentral:rRNA from 1 species